AUCUGGAUAGACUAGAAUUGGUAGAGGACUUGAAAAAAUAUCAGUGCUGAGUUGUUUGGAUAGUAAGAUUGAGGUACACUUUCUUUAAACAUUUUCUUUAUAUUUGUUAUAAUGCUCUCACAACGCUGGAAAAAUAGUAAGAAAUUAAAUAGAAAUAUGUGUUCAAUAGCGAACAUUGGGAUCUCCAAUCCAAGCUACUUUUAAAUAACUGCCCCCAAAAAUUCCAUUGAAAAAUAUAAUGAAGUCCUAAUUCUGGAGCAGGGAGAGGGAACAAGACUGACAAAAGGGAACUGAAGAAGGGUUAUAUGGUAAAUGUGUAUGAAGAGGCAGAAGAAGGAUUUGAAGGUGAUGAGAAUAGAGGUGCUGUUCACCAGAAACGGGACUUCUUCAAGACAAAGGCUUGCUUUAGCGGUAGUUGCAGCCUAUGUUGUAGUUUGAUGGGACUCCUCGCCUUUCACUGUUCAAACAAGUACAAUCCAGAGGUACGGUCACCGUACAAGUUCAUCGUUAUCCAUAGGAGUAAACUAAAUGUCUCUGCUUUGAAAUUUUGACUAGGAUACAUCUGCCAGCAAUUACCAUGGGUGUUUCUAAAGUGCACAUAGCCCACUGGCUCUCAAAACAUCGCUCUCAAACAAUAGUGUUGGAAAGACGCACUUUCUAAAACUUUCAAGCGAUCUAUAAUCUCCCAGACUACUUUCACAAUUAACUUUUCUUUUUUUUGGCCACUGACCAAAAGGCAGGAUAUUGUUGGUGAAUUUGUAACUUUUCCAUUUUAAAUAAAGCAACCCCUUAGCAGUGAUUUCACUUUUUUGUUUCGAUCUUUGACAUUGAGCUGCAAACUGUCAUCUUUAGUUACCCAGAAAAAGCAGCCAGCUUUAGAAAAAAAUGUUUGGUCCUGCAAUGUCUAAGUGGUUUGAUUUCCUCUUCUGAUGCAUUAGAAGAGGCAAGAACAACCUCCUGGAUGACUGGGGGAGAAAAUGCCCCUCAUUAGCAUGAUGGCCAAAACGAUCUUGUUCAUAAGCAAACAUAUUGUCUUACUCAGAAGAAAAUUUCAAAAACAAGAAAACCUAAAAUCCAAAAUCAAUUGCUCUAAACAAUGUCUCAGGUAUUGAUUUCCAUAGCAUAUCUGGAAACACUACCUAAAGAUUAGGAACUGUCUGUGUAGUCCAUAGAUUGGAUAUUAUAUAACAUUUAUCUUAGGCAAUGAUGCUAUUGGAAGUAUGCUAGCUGGAUGUCACAGGCAGAUUCAUAAUUUAGUUGUUCUCACAAACCCAUUUCCCCUGGCUGAUUUUGCUCCAGCUGGCACAUCACAAAAUGUGUAACCCAAGCCUGCUUAGCAUCAUCAUUUGGCCAGCCCACUAAAGGCAUCAUGGAGAAAAUAAUACUACAUUAAGUGGUAAAUCCCCAAAUUUAAGUCUGACAAUAAAGCUUGUGUUUUUCCCUUAGAUGAGAGGAAGCAUUUUAUUAUGGAAAUAAGAGAGACUUUGGAGGCAAACCUCUGCAAACCCCAAUUUCCUGUGAAAUUUAUGUAAUAAUUCCUACCUCAUAACAUUGCUUUAAUAAUGAAAUGAAAUGCAAUGCCUUACUUACAUUAAAAUUUCAAUAAAAGUUUGUCAGCCCUGUGACUUUGGAUAAGUUACUUAACUGCUCUAAGACUCAAUUUUCUCAUCUUAAAAUGGAUAGCAUGCUACUUACUUCAGAGGGUUGUAUGAGGAUUAAAUGACUCAGUAAGAGAUAAACUCUUAGAAUAGUACCUGCUAAUAGUAAGUACUCAAUAAAUGUAGUUGUUACUCUCGUUGUUGAUUGUCUGUUUGCUAGUAGGAUAUUCCAGAUAAAGAGAACAACAGGAGCUCAGAAGGACUUAAGACUAACCAAAACCAGUUACAGAGACAAGAAAUAUCAUUGGGGAGAGGAGAACAAGAAUCUGUUUAUUCAACAACAUUUUGUGCUGGCUUUGUUUUUGAUGCUGGGGAUUCAGUGGUGAUAAAAUAAAACUAUGCC
ensembl:lncRNA